rnacentral:rRNA from 1 species
AUUUCUUGUGUGACCGCGUACUUUUUGUAGAACGGGCCAACGAGUUACGUUAAGUAUCAAGGUUAAGCACUUAAGUUGCGGAGCCGAAGCGAAAGCGAGUUUUACCGUAGCGUUCAGGUACUUGACGUAGACCCGAACCCGGGCGACCUACCCAUGAGCAGGAGGAAGCGAAAGUAAAAUUUCGUGGAGGUCCGAACCCACGCGCGUUGAAAAGCUCUGGGAUGACUUGUGGGUAGCGGUGAAAUUCCAAUCGAGCCCGGAGAUAGCUGGUUCUCCCCGAAAUAGCUUUAGGGCUAGCCUCAAGGUGAGAGAUACGGAGGUAGAGCACUGAAUGUCCUAGGGGGUAUUGCACCUACCGAAGACUAUCAAACUCCGAAU